rnacentral:rRNA from 1 species
UAGAGUUUGAUCCUGGCUCAGAUUGAACGCUGGCGGCGUGCUUAACACAUGCAAGUCGAUCGGUAACGCGGGGGCAACCCUGGCGACGAGGGGCGGACGGGUGAGGAACGCUUGGGAAUCUGCCCUUCAGCGGGGGACAACCCGGGGAAACUCGGGCUAAUACCGCAUACGCUCCACGGAGGAAAGCCGGGGACCGCAAGGCCUGGCACUGAAGGAUGAGCCCAAGCCGGAUUAGCUAGUUGGUGGGGUAACGGCCCACCAAGGCGACGAUCCGCAGCUGGUCUGAGAGGACGAUCAGCCACACCGGAACUGAGACACGGUCCGGACUCCUACGGGAGGCAGCAGUGGGGAAUAUUGGACAAUGGGGGAAACCCUGAUCCAGCGACGCCGCGUGGGUGAAGAAGGCCUGCGGGUUGUAAAGCCCUUUCGGUAGGGACGAAAGCUCUUGCCUCAAUACGGCAGGAGGUUGACUUAACCUACAUAAGAAGCACCGGCUAACUCUGUA